rnacentral:rRNA from 1 species
AUUGAACGCUGGCGGCAGGCCUAACACAUGCAAGUCGAGCGAGCGGCGGACGGGUGAGUAAUGUAUGGGGACUGCCCGAUAGAGGGGGAUAACUACUGGAAACGGUGGCUAAUACCGCAUACUGUCUGAUAACCCACAUGGGAUUAGCUAGUAGGUAAGGUAAUGGCUUACCUAGGCGACGAUCUCUAGCGGGUCUGAGAGGAUGAUAAGCAACACUGGGACUGAGACACGGCCCAGACUCCGAAGGAGGCAGCAGUGGGGAAUAUUGCACAAUGGGCGCAAGCCUGAUGCAGCAAUGCCGCGUGUAUGAAGAAGGCCCUAGGGUUGUAAAGUACUUUCAGUCGGGAGGCGUUACCGACAGAAGAAGCACCGGCUAACUACGUGCCAGCCGCCGCGGUAAUAC